UACGUAGGGUGCAAGCGUUAAUCGGAAUUACUGGGCGUAAAGCGUGCGCAGGCGGAUUUGUAAGUCUGUCGUGAAAGCCCCGGGCUCAACCUGGGAAUUGCGUUGGAGACUGCAAGGCUUGAAUCUGGCAGAGGGGGGUAGAAUUCCACGUGUAGCAGUGAAAUGCGUAGAGAUGUGGAGGAACACCGAUGGCGAAGGCAGCCCCCUGGGUCAAGAUUGACGCUCAUGCACGAAAGCGUGGGGAGCGAACAGG
rnacentral:rRNA from 1 species